ACCUGUACUUUGACGAGAGCUCUGCCGUUACAUAAAAAACAGAGUACCUAUACUUUGAUGCGAGCUCUGCCGUUACAUAAAUAGGCAGAGUACCUAUGCUUGGAUGAGAGCUCUGCCAUUAC
rnacentral:lncRNA from 1 species